AAAGACUUGACGGUACUUCACAACACCCUAGAGGAGCCUGUCUAAUAACCGAUACUCCACGAUUAACCCCACCUGUCCUAGCCUUACAGUCUAUAUACCGCCGUCGCCAGCUUACCUUGUGAAAGAAAUAAAGUGAGCAAAACAAACCACCUCUAGCACGACAGGUCAAGGUGUAACUAAUGAACAGGCAAAAGAUGGGCUACACUUUCUAACGCAGAAAACACGAAUCAAAUUAUGAAACCACAACUGAAGGCGGAUUUAGUAGUAAGAUAAAAAUAGAAUGCUUA
rnacentral:rRNA from 1 species